CUGAUUCUUUGAGAAUGAUGAAUUAUUUCGAAAGAAAGAAGUAAUACUACCAGCUUUUGUUGUUAGUUUUGCAAGACUAGGACUAAUGUCUGGUAUGGAUGGUAUAUCAACACUUGGAGAAUGACGACGCAAGUCGACAAAUACUUUCUUCCAUCCUAAGGAAUCCAAUGAAGUUGACAUAUGGAUCAAUUCAUCUGUAUUUUCGGCAUCUAAAGGAGGCAUUGUGUAUG
rnacentral:ribozyme from 14 species